CGGCAGCACAUACCGGUACACUAAAAUUGGAACGAUACAGAGAAGAUUAGCAUGGCCGCUGUGCAAGGCAAGUGCCCUACUGCUGAGCUAGAACACUUUCAC